UAUCUUAUAAAUAUACUUAUAUGUAUAUACACAAAGAUAGAUAAUAUCUCUGAAAGGAUAUACUUAAGAGGUGAGUAAUAGUAUUUGCCUCUAGAGAGAAACUGGGGUACAAGAGGACUGAGGUGAGAAGGAAACUUACUUUUUGUACAGUAUACCCUUUUUUAUUUUAUACCACGUGUAAACAUUUAUCUGGUCAAAAACAGUAUAUCUUAAAAUAACAAAAAAUGUAGAAUGUAUAAACGUAUGUAACACUUAAAGCAUUGUGUUGCUAAAUACAUUGUUUUAGGUGGGUAGUCUUGAAGAAAGCUUAUUUUGUUUUAAAAGGUAAAUUUAACAAAAUACCAUAUGAUAUCACUUAUAUGUAGAAUGUAAAAAUAAAUUAGACAAAUGAACUUAUUUACAAAGCAGAAAGAGCCUCACAGACAUAGAAAACAAACUUACUGUUACCAAAGGGUAAAGGUGGGGGGAAGGCUAAAUUGGGAGUUUAGGAUUAGCAGAUACAAACUACUGUAUACAGAAUAGAUAAAUAACCAGGUCCUACUGUAUAGCACAGGGAACUACAUCCAAUAUCUUGUAAUAACCUACAAAGAAAAAAUAUGAAAAAGAAUGUGUGUGUAUAUAUAUGUAUAACUGAAUCACUAUGCUGUACACCAGAAACUAAUACAAUGUUGUAAAUCAACUAUUUUUCAAUUUUUUUUUAAAGUAAACUUAGUAUUUCAAAGGCAUGAUUUUAAGUGCCAAGUUCACAUGGAAAUGUCAUAAUUGACUCUACCGAAUUGCAACAUAACCACCCCUUCAUCACUGGGAGCCUUUCAUUGGGUAUCUCUGCAAUUUGGAGAUUAUCUGAACGUUUUUAAAUAGCCACAAUAUCCAAUUCUGUGUUCAUGAAGUCCCAUAAGAACAAAUAAUCUCCCAGUUAGUGAUUCCUUCAAGGUGUUUUAGAAAGAGACAGAGAGACAGAAAGGAAAUGUAGGGGUAUUUUUUCCCUCCUGAUUUAUACAUAAGCACGUUCAUCCCUUGAUUAAAGACGUUUCUAUUUAGCUUUGUGCUGUAACCUCCAAAAUAGAUCCUUCUGCUUUAUGUUGUUUUAAACAAUGUCCAGUAAGUGAUUUAACAAAAUUAUUUGCCUACUAAGAUUAAGUAAUUUUAUCUUCUUUUGAUGGCAUGAGAAAAGAAAAACAAGGCAAACUUUUAAUAGUUUUGAAAAUACUAUGAUCUCCUUGUUGGUAUCUACAGAGGGAUCUACUAGGAAGGUCACUCACUUUUGUUAUGAAGCCAUUUUCAUAAAGAUUGAAACAUGGUAAAACUACACAGUAUGACCCAAAUUAAGCUAGUGACUGAGCUGAUGUGUCAGCAUGUCCAGUAUCAAAACUACACUCAUGGGUUGUUUUUUUGUUCCCAUGGUUUCUUUUUCUUGGUUUAUCAAAGGAUUCAGGAACAAAGAUUUUAAGAAGAGGUGGAGUUCCUAGAAGCGCCAUUAGUUAAUGUGUCCCAUUCUUUUUUUUGCACUCAAAAUACUAAAUGUUUCUAGUUGCAGUGUUAGGAAGACAUCCAGCUAUACCAAUACUUUCCAAAAUACUUGGAGGUUCUGGAACAGAGGCCAUUGUAAUGACGCUGUAUUUGACAGAGGGCUUAUACAUGAAAGGAGAUGUGUAGUACAAGCAUAAAUUACUGCUAUAUUGCUAUCAUGUCACAGUGAAGUACUCUUCAGCCUCUUGAAUAUAAAAGAUUAUUUCUACAUUUGGUUCCAGCAAAUGCUAUUGUGCUAUUCUGAAAUCCACAGCACAGAAAUUAAAAGACAUCCGCUCAUAAACAGAAAGCAAAUCACUAUUCAGCAUUUCCUGCUCUGUUUCCUGCCAAUUUCAGAUAAUUAAAACUUUUUUUAAACCUUUUAUUCUAUUCUGCAUUAAUUCUGCUUCCUUUACUGAAAAGGAAAGAUUCAGAAAUUAAAACUGUGUAUAUAAUAGUAACAACAAAUCUUUGCCCUUUUUCCCCCUUAUCCUAUGAUAUUAACUUUCUUCAUUAUUACAGACCUCAGGAUAUCAUUGUGUUCAUAAUUGGAGGAGCCACCUAUGAAGAGGCUCUAACAGUUUAUAACCUGAACCGUACCACUCCUGGAGUGAGGACUGUCCUGGGAGGAACCACAGUGCACAACACAAAAAGUUUCCUAGAGGAAGUUCUGGCUUCUGGAUUGCACAGCCGAAGCAAGGAGAGCUCUCAAGUUACAUCAAGGUCAGCAAGCAGAAGAUGAAAAGGUGAUGGAGAGGUGAGAAGAAUGGCACAACUUCCCCUCUUGCCUCGCUGCAGGCUUCCUCCCCUGCCCAGAGGUGUUGGAGAAGAGCCUUGGGUUUUGUGCUUGUUGUUAUAACCCAUCUCCAGGUAGCCUGCUGAUUCCUGGACUGUUGGCACAGACACCAAGACUCCCAGUGAUGAGUUGAGAAUAAGUCUGAGCCCUUUUUGACCCACUUUUCUCAUGGUUUCUUUAUCAAAUAAAUAAAUAAAUGUAUUCCUUGUAUUUGAUAGCACAA